rnacentral:rRNA from 1 species
UACGUAGGGUGCAAGCGUUAAUCGGAAUUACUGGGCGUAAAGCGUGCGCAGGCGGUUUUGUAAGUCUGUCGUGAAAGCCCCGGGCUUAACCUGGGAAUUGCGAUGGAGACUGCAAGGCUUGAAUCUGGCAGAGGGGGGUAGAAUUCCACGUGUAGCAGUGAAAUGCGUAGAGAUGUGGAGGAACACCGAUGGCGAAGGCAGCCCCCUGGGUUAACACUGACGCUCAGGCACGAAAGCGUGGGGAGCAAACAGG